rnacentral:rRNA from 1 species
UACGUAGGGCGCAAGCGUUGUCCGGAAUUAUUGGGCGUAAAGAGCUCGUAGGCGGUCUGUUACGUCCGCUGUGAAAACCCAGGGCUUAACCCUGGGCUUGCAGUGGAUACGGGCAGACUAGAGUUCGGCAGGGGAGACUGGAAUUCCUGGUGUAGCGGUGAAAUGCGCAGAUAUCAGGAGGAACACCGGUGGCGAAGGCGGGUCUCUGGGCCGAAACUGACGCUGAGGCGCGAAAGCUAGGGGAGCAAACAGG